CUUUCCAAGAUAUCAGUCCAAAUGUACAACUGUGCAUAAUUGUGUCAGCAACAUCUUUGUUGCCCUUAUUUUCUACCCGGCCGCCACCAUGGCUGCGCUCGUUCAGUUCAUAUUCUAUCAUUUAAUACACUCAUUGUCUUCUCAGGAUAUGGAGAAAGAAAUCAGGAAACAAGUAGAUGGCGCCAUUGCUAAAGCAAAGGAAAGUUCUAUGCCUGAUACUUCUGAACUCUUCACAAAUGUUUUGAAAUAGAAUUGCCCGAAGAAGUGGAGCUAAGGCAAAUUUCGUCUGAUAUGCAGACGCUCAUGAGGCUUCACAAGGGUGCAAAAGCUGAAAAUAUAAGGAUUUUUUUCAUGGCUUCACUAUUGUAUCUUUUAGAUGAGGCGUCCAGGGCUCUCCUGAUGAAGGUACUAGAAGAUGCCACCCAGGACGUUGUGCAGAGGCAGGCAAAGGUAAC